rfam:Euryarchaeota archaeon RBG_16_68_12 RBG_16_scaffold_13855, whole genome shotgun sequence.
CGGGGCAUGGUGUAAGGGUAGCAUUCGAGGCCGUAGACCUCGCGGUGGGCGUUCGACUCGCUCUGCCCCGA